GUCUGUGGCCAUGCCACCCUGAACAAGCCUGAUCCCAUCUGAUCUCCGAAGCUAAGCAGGGUUGGGCCUGGUUAAUACUUGGAUGAGAGACCAACUAGGAAGACCAGGUGCUAUAGGUG
rnacentral:rRNA from 1 species